UGGGGAAUUUUGCACAAUGGCGGGAACCUUGAUGCAGCGACGCCGCGUGAGGGAUGGAGGCCUUCGGGUUGUGAACCUCUUUCGCUCGUGUGCAAGCCGCUAUUUGGGUAGUGGUGAGUGUAGCGGGUAAAGAAGCGCCGGCUAACUACGUGCCAGCAGCCGCGGUAAUACGUAGGGCGCGAGCGUUGUCCGGACUUAUUGGGCGUAAAAGGCUUGUAGGCGGUUUGUCGCGCCUGUCGUGUAAUCCUCUGGCUUAACUGGGGGUGUGCGGUGGGUACGGGCAAGCUUGAGUGCGGUAGGGGAGAUUGGAAUUCCUGGUGUAGCGGUGGAAUGCGCAGAUAUCAGGAGGAAAACCGGUGGCGAAGGCGGGUCUCUGGGCCGUUACUGGCGCUGAGGAGCGAAAGCGUGGGGAGCGAACAGG
rnacentral:rRNA from 1 species